rnacentral:rRNA from 1 species
CCUACGGGUGGCAGCAGUGGGGGAUAUUGCACAAUGGGGGAAACCCUGAUGCAGCGACGCCGCGUGAGUGAAGAAGUAUUUCGGUAUGUAAAGCUCUAUCAGCAGGGAAGAAAAUGACGGUACCUGAGCAAGAAGCCCCGGCUAACUACGUGCCAGCAGCCGCGGUAAUACGUAGGGGGCAAGCGUUAUCCGGAUUUACUGGGUGUAUAGGGAGCGUAGACGGUGAUGUAAGUCUGGAGUGAAAGGCCGGGGCCCAACCCCGGGACUGCUCUGGACACUGUGUAGCUGGAGUGCGGGAGAGGUAGGCGGAAUUCCUGGUGUAGCGGUGAAAUGCGUAGAUAUCAGGAGGAACACCAGUGGCGAAGGCGGCCUGCUGGACUGAAACUGACGUUGAGGCUCGAAAGCGUGGGGAGCAAACAGGAUUAGAUACCCGGGUAGUC